GUGGGUAUGUCUAUACUAUGUACCCGUGGGUAUGUCUAUACUAUGUAUGUCUAUACUAUGUACCCGUGGGUAUGUCUAUACUAUGUACCCGUGGGUAUGUCUGUGUUUCUGAUCAUGGACUGGCUCCUAAAGGAGAGUCCACUGACAUGGUUCUUUAUAUUUGUUGUGCCUGUCCACAUCUCUUUAUUCUCUCUAGGUGUAUGCCUGUCCACAUCUCUUUGAUCUCUUUAUUCUCUCUAGGUGUCUGCCUGUCCACAUCUCUUUGAUCUCUUUAUUCUCUCUAGGUGUCUGCCUGUCCACAUCUCUUUAUUCUCUCUAGGUGUCUGCCUGUCCACAUCUCUUUAUUCUCUCUAGGUGUCUGCCUGUCCACAUCUCUUUGUUCUCUUUAUUCUCUCUAGGUGUCUGCCUGUCCACAUCUCUUUGUUCUCUUUAUUCUCUCUAGGUGUCUGCCUGUCCACAUCUCUUUGAUCUCUUUAUUCUCUCUAGGUGUCUGCCUGUCCACAUCUCUUUGAUCUCUUUAUUGUCUCUAGGUGUCUGCCUGUCCACAUCUCUUUGUUCUCUCUAGGUGUCUGCCUGUCCACAUCUCUUUGUUCUCUCUAGGUGUCUGCCUGUCCACAUCUCUUUGUUCUCUCUCUCUCUUGUUCCAUCUAUAGGCAGCAGAUAGAGUGCAGCCAGUGGGCAUUGCCAUGUUCUAACACAGCUGCGCCAGGGGGAGUGUCCACUGCCCUCUUCCCCAGCUGCUGGCUGAUGUCACAGAGAGGAGAACACGUAGCAAGACAGACACAUGUUAGCAUUGGCUCUCAAUCUCUGUGACAACAUGGUUCUAUCCCCACAGAGAUGGAGACUGUUGAACAACAUCACAGAGCGGGGACAUUGUUGCGUAACAAUACCUACCUACUGUAAAGGAAGAAUCUUCUUGCAACCAUAAUACUUAGGUUCAAGUAGAUAAAUGGAUACAUAAAUAGUAUGACAUAAGACAUAAAGAGACUCACUUGAAGGCCUAGCUUUGAGCAGCAGACAGACAAGAAACAAAUGCCCCAAUAAGAAUCAGGCCAUGUUGGAAUCAAACAAAAUGCUGAUAUCACACUAACGAUCUGUGCCAGUGACACAUUGUCCUUUGAAGAGCGCUCACUGAACGGGGAGAUGAAUUUAAUAUCUUUGGACAGAUAUGGUGGGAAGCAGUCAGAUUAGUUUAUUUUUCUUUAAACAUUCCUUUAAUUCCUCUUUGACUGUUAAAUGCACCAUGGGCUAUUACAGCAAAAAUAAACAAGGUUUCAUACAUUCAAUAAAUAGCUUAGACGGAUGCAGGCUUAAUCUAAUUCCUUUUCCCAUAUGUUUUCUAACCAUAUUAAGCUAAAAUGUCAUACAGUGCUUGGACCAAAUGUUGGGUCAAUUUGGAAAAAAGGCCUCUUUGAAAAUGCCUCUUUGAAAAUACUUACAUGGCAUGGGCAGUUUGGCACAUCACGAUGUGACAAAUCUCCUAGACCGUUGUGACUUAUCACAUGAGUAAGUGUUUAGUAGAGCGCACACAAAGGCCAGUAGGUUACUAGAAGAGAACGGACACCACCUCCACUGGGUUAUCACUAGAACAGAACGGACACCACCUCCACUGGGUUAUCACUAGAACAGAACGGACACCACCUCCACUGGGUUAUCACUAGAACAGAACGGACACCACCUCCACUGGGUUAUCACUAGAACAGAACGGACACCACCUCCACUGGGUUAUCACUAGAACAGAACGGACACCACCUCCACUGGGUUAUCACUAGAACAGAACGG